GACGAACGCUGGCGGCGUGCCUAAUACAUGCAAGUCGAACGCAGUGGGGACGGGUGAGUAACACGUGGGUAACCUCCCAUCAGAGGGGAUAACACUUGGAAACAGGUGCUAAACCGAUACUGAUGGAUGGACCCGCGGUGCAUUAGCUAGUUGGUGAGGUAACGGCUCACCAAGGCCACGAUGCAUAGCAGACCUGGGAGGGUAAGCGGCCAGCCUGGGACGGAAACACGGCACAGACUCCUACGGGAGGCAGCAGUAGGGAAUCUUAGGCAAUGGACGAAAGUCUGACCGAGCAACGCCACGUGAGUGAAGAAGGGUUUCGGAGCGUAAAACUCUGUUGUUAGAGAAGCGGUAUCUAACCAGAAAGCCACGGCUAACUACGUGCCAGCAGCCGCGGUAAUUC
rnacentral:rRNA from 1 species